CUUGUUUGAAUGAUUGCGGUUGAGGAACAUCUCUCUUCUCCAAACUCUUUCUUUCUGUUUCUGCCAAACUGCAAUAAUUCCAAAGAUUAAAAUCAAAUGCUUGGACAGUUUGAGCUGAAUUAAAAGAACAUUUUGAGAUUGUUACGGCAACCAAAAUGUCUUAAAGCAUGCACAGAAAUUAAAAGGGAUGACACGAACAUACUUAUGAUUAAAAGGAGUAAGAUAUGGUAGAUCGAAAGGAAAAGGAACUAUCUAGCAUAAACAAAAAAACACAAGCAGAUUUUCAACUUGAUGCAUAUAAUGUCACAUAGGUAAAGAGAAUGGAACAUACAUAGGGGGGGAGGCAUGACCAUAUCUUUUUGUGUAGCCGAAGUUCCAACCAUAGCAGCAUGCCCAGCUACAACUCGAACACUUACAGCUUGGCCUCGUAUGGCAGCAGGUUGGCCAUUUAUAGCAGAACGCCCAGCUACAACUAGAACAGUAGCACAAAGAUCGUGGACGCUUCUUUCUGCAAUGCACAAAGGUUCAUCUGAUGUUUCGACUGUCUGUGGAUUCUCGACAUUGACACUAUUUACGGCUGUGUCUAUCUCCUCUAUUAUAAUCGAUGGGGUUCUGCUAAACAAAUUUGUCUCACCGCAUUUGGUCAAUUCCGGUGACAUGCAUACUUCGCCAAACAUGUGUUCUCUGGAGAAGCUAUUUUCCCCUACAUGAAGGCUAAAUAACGACUCAUUAGAAGCAAGACUCCAUUCCAAUGGAUUAGUAUUUAUAUCGAAGACCUCAGAUGGAAUCCUUGCAGGAUCAUACCCUCCAGAUCGAUCCAUCAUUUGAAUGGGAGGGCUUACAGUUGGUGGCAUUCCGUUUUGGUUGUAAGUGACAUUGUAAACCUGAAAUGUUGAGGUGGAAACUGGAGGUCUGUUAUCAACUUCCGAUUUGGAAGAGCUCUCGCUAUUAGAAACAUAACUUUUUUCAGAUUUUGAUGUUGAUGCACCGGAUGUGGUGAACUUCAAUGUAUCCAUUCCAUAAAAACCAUCCGAUGAUGAUUCUGAUGAAGAGGAAGAACUUGAUCGUCUGGUUGAGGCAGAUAUGCUUUUAGUACCAUCAAGAUGUGUGUCAAGGUAAUUAUUAUGACCAAUUUCAUCUCUAUCCUUGAUAUUUACUUGCCCUUCUGAAUCAAUACAACCUCCACUUCCGUUUGUUACCUCAGAGUUUGAAUCAGAACUUUCA
rnacentral:lncRNA from 1 species